rnacentral:rRNA from 1 species
GACGAACGCUGGCGGCGUGCUUAACACAUGCAAGUCGAGCGGUAAGGCCCUUUCGGGGGUACACGAGCGGCGAACGGGUGAGUAACACGUGGGUGACCUGCCCUCAGCUCUGGGAUAAGCCUGGGAAACUGGGUCCAAUACCGGAUAUGACUCCAUGACGCAUGUUGUGGGGUGGAAAGCCUUGUGCGGCUGAGGAUGGGCCCGCGGCCUAUCAGCUUGUUGGUGGGGNGAUGGCCUACCAAGGCGACGACGGGUAGCCGGCCUGAGAGGGCGACCGGCCACACUGGGACUGAGACACGGCCCAGACUCCUACGGGAGGCAGCAGUGGGGAAUCUUGCGCAAUGGGCGAAAGCCUGACGCAGCGACGCCGCGUGAGGGAUGACGGCCUGGUGUAAC